rnacentral:rRNA from 1 species
CCUACGGGAGGCAGCAGUGGGGAAUAUUGCACAAUGGGGGAAACCCUGAUGCAGCGACGCCGCGUGGGCGAAGAAGUAUUUCGGUAUGUAAAGCCCUAUCAGCAGGGAAGAAGAAAUGACGGUACCUGAGUAAGAAGCACCGGCUAAAUACGUGCCAGCAGCCGCGGUAAUACGUAUGGUGCAAGCGUUAUCCGGAUUUACUGGGUGGAAAGGGAGGGCAGGCGGCACGGCAAGCCUGAUGUGAAAGCCCGCGGCCCAACCGCGGGACUGCAUUGGGAACUACCGGGCUGGAGUGCCGGAGAGGUAGGCGGAAUUCCUAGUGUAGCGGUGAAAUGCGUAGAUAUUAGGAGGAACACCAGUGGCGAAGGCGGCCUACUGGACGGUGACUGACGCUGAGGCUCGAAAGCGUGGGGAGCAAACAGGAUUAGAUACCCGGGUAGUC